CCUCUUGCAGGCACCGCGCGUCCAAAGAUCGGCGGAAAUUGCGCCAACCACGCACAAGUUUCGAGCAGGCCCGAAGGUUGUCCCUGUUCGCGGUGGAAUUUCGUGGAUGAAUUUGGUGGAUGAGACGGGUGAUCUCGAGAGGGAAGGAAUCGUGGAGGAAAUUGUCGUGACAGAAAACGCUUCUUCCCCGUCGCGAGAGCAACCCCCGGGUUAAAAAGAAUGCGCGUUCGAAGUUUCCGGUGCUCGAGAAGUGGCCAGGAAGAAAGUAAGAUGGAGGGAGGGCGGGAGAAGCAGGCUCGUCACGAAGCGAGGUGCGCAAGCAGCGCAUAGAUACGUGGGCAAACUCGGGGAAGACGUAUUGCACGUGAGUAGAGGACGACACGGGAGAAUGUUGGAUGAGUGACGUGCGAUGCGAUGAAGUUAACGUGGUCGAUUAUCGAGUUAAGUCUCUACUACGGUUCCCGGCGUCGAAUAUUCGCGACAAUCGGCAAUCCUUCCCACGUCGUGUUCCACACGCUCUAUUCCACCUGUGUGUAUGUAUACGCACACGCAUACGCACAUCUCAUGCGAGUUUUUAUUCUCGUCACCGAGCGAUGAUGGAAAAGCAGUACAGGGUGAUUUAUGAAAGGUGGCCGGUGUUAAUUACAAGGUUAAUAGAGAUCGUACGAUAAAAGAGUUUAAGUUGGUGAUGGAUAUCGAUUGCUGGAAAUUGCUUCAACAUCUCUCGUUCCUGUUUAUUUUUUUUUUUCGAAUAAACUGAUUUAUCGUCGUGAUUUUUGACAACCGAAAAAUUUUUCCAAAUGGAUAGAAUGCCCAAAUAUACGAAUCUAUGUUUCAACCCUUGUAUUUUUCUAUCUAGAAAAUUAGAAGCGUCUAAAUCAUCCUUCCAAAGUUAUCCGUCGGAUACGAAUUGACACAACGUGGACGCAUUUAAAAUGCUUCGAUCUUAAAAAUUACGCGAAUAAAAAUCCUCUUCCACGCGCCCUUUAAUCGAGAGUGGAAAAAUUCGCCAGAAUCAGAACGCCUCGCCUCUCCCUCCUGCCCCUCCCAAGUUUUCCGCGCGCGGCUCUCGACGACGUGACCGUUUCCAUUCCACUCCGCUCGGCCUCCUAUUCUUUUUCCACCAUCGUUAUCGGCAAGGAUAGCCGCCGUCCGUGGAGAGAGCCGACACCGUUCUCGUCACUCCUUCCCCCUCUCCCUUCCUUCCUUCCUUCCUUCUUCUUCCACCUCCGCCUAGACGCCCACGGUAGUAGACACGUUUUCUCUCCAUUCUUCGUUUUCCCUCCGCGGAGCACCGUGUCAGGCGCUCUUCUCCUCCAGGCGCUCGAGCUUCGGGAGAGGAGAGGAGAGGAGGCGAUCAAUACGUCGCUCCAGAAGCGGAGAAGGAACACGGGCCACUGCUUGUUGGGAGACUUUGAGAGGAGAGUGGUGGGGAGGAGGUUGGGAGGGGAGGGGAUGGUGGGAAAACGGAGGUUUUCCAGGAGCGAUUCUCCUCGAGAGGAGAGAGAGGGGGCACGAGCCUGGCUUCGAGCAGAUAUGCCCGGCUGUAUGAGCGCGAAAAGAUGAUGAGACGAAGGGUGGCCCCUGCCUUUUCCCCCCUCCCACUCCGCUCAUCCGGUUGACAGGGAUUCGAGGCCGAGACUGCACGAUUUCGGCCGAGGCUGAACGACUUCAGGGCUGUACCCCCCUGUUCCUUUGUCUGUGGAUCAUUUUGCGGCCACGACGUUUCUUCGAUUCGAUUCGUUUUUUUUUUGUUUGUUUAUUCGUUCGCUCGUCGACGCUCUCGUUUGCGUGAUUUUGAAAACGGGGGAAUUUUGUAGAGUAAUGUUGUGGAAGUAAGGAGCUGUUUUCUUUUUUUAUCUGCAUCUUUUUAAAAUUUGUACCGAGGAAAUUAAGAAUAGAGAAUUUAUAUUAUUGCGGAAAUGGUGGAUGGAGAUGUAUUGGAAAAAUAUUCGAUCGUUGAGCGUGUAAUGCAAACGAUGUAAACGAUGAAAACGGGCCUCCUUUCUCUGAAUACUCCGAGCCGCGUAUAAACUUCCUUCACCCUCAACGCUGCGUACAUAAUGCAUGAAUUUCUGCGCGAGAAUUUCAUAAGAGAAAUUCCUUACACCCAAUCGCUAAUACACCAAGUGUUACACGGUUCGUAGCCGGUGGAUGACUCACGUGUUUCAACGCGAUCUUCGAUCCUCGAUAUCUUACGUACAAAUAUCUCUUCGACAACUUUGUAAUUUCACGAAGAACAGAUAUUAACAAAUUGUCUCCGAAACGAUCGUGAAAUAUCAGAAAAAAAAAAAACAUUCGAUAAUAAUAUCGUUCGAGUUAUCCUUCGAAGCAGAAACGAAACGAAAAAAAAAAAAAAUUUAUCAGAGACACACGAGAUGUUCUCUGAACCCGUCCAAAUUUUCCCUCCCAAAAAACCUAUAAACCAAAUAUUAUCCAUCACGUUUCGAGCCUCAUUUGUCCCUUUUACUCUCAACAAUCAACCCAUCACCCUCCCCCUCUCCCCUCCUGCAAACCAAUUACUCCCCCCACCCACCCGAGAUCCAACCGCAUAUUUCCAACCACUCCACCCACCCACGGUAUCCUCCUCCCAAUCUUACCUCUCCUCUGUCGGUAACAUCCGCGUCACGGGCGAAAGAAAAAGAAAAGAAAAGGAAGAAGAAAAAAGAAAGAAAGAAAGAAAGAAAGAAAAAAGAAACGUUGGCGCGCGUCGAAUAAUGCGAUAUCAAUACUCAUCUCGCGGAGCGGACGUGGUGCAGGGCGCCCGAGUCCGGUGCUACGCCGCUGUACGGUGGCAUCCCCCUGGCCUUGGGUGGGGGGAGGGUGCGCGCGGUCCAAUCAUCGCAGAAUCCGGGGGAUGCCCGUGGGUUCGGCCGGGCAGCCGUGGGAGAGACGCCCCGCGACUCGAGGAUUCGCGGUUGUCGCCGAAUGCCUUCUCCGCUCGAGGGGUCGCGAAAAGGACGGUCGGUCGGCCGGCCGGCCGCUCGCGUUCCGUUCCGAAGGGCGUUGGCCCGAAUUUUCCGCGCGCGCUACCUCCAACGCGGUUUCCACGCGCCGCGCGCGAAACGCGAUCGUGCUCGAGGAUGGAAUCGUGGCGAGGACGUGCACGCGCACGCAUCACCGGGGCCUCGUUGGAUGCGUGCGGUCAUGGUGUGAGUCAGGCAUCGAUUCCUUUCUUUCCUUUUCUUUUCUUCCUCCUUUUUCUUCUCGCUUCGAAUUUCGCGGAUGGAAAUUGUGCGAGCUUCGGACUUUCGGAUGCGUGAGUGUGUGUAUGGGUAUACGUGUGGGUGUGUGCGAGCGUGCGUGCGUAUGGAUGCAUCGUUCGGAUGUUGUCCACGGGGGGACAUAGAUGGCAGUGUGGUGGGUAUAUUGUUGUAGUUCGUGCACGAUUCUUUUUGCCCACUAAUUGUUCCGUCGAAGCUGUGCGUUUUGAUGUCUUUGAAUCGAAUUUGUGAAUUGGAUGAUUUCGUGCGGUUUCGUCUCGUGUUGCAUGGUCGUUUCUUUCUUUUUCUUUUUUUCGGAAGAAGAGCGUGCACGUGCAUGGUCGUCUGAACGUGAGUCGCGUCCGCUUCUGUGUUUUCACUUUUCUAAUCGUAUUCCCGACGUGUCGAUGCCUCGACCUCGAUUCCGAAAGCGUGUUGACGCGCACGAGCGCGUUUGUGAUAGCUGUGCCCCAAUGGAAUUUCGUGACAUAGUUCUUCUAGUUGUUCUCUUUGCUUUCUGUGCACUUUCUUUUCUCCAUACUCCGCGAAAUGCACGCGAAAAUUUUUGCCUGUUGCUCGAGCGAACGUCCGUCUGUCUUCUUGCCGUUUCCUUUGUGCAUUGUGCGAGCCGUAAAUUCUUGUAGAAUUCUUGUAAAAACGAUAAAGGAAUUAUCUCGAUUGUAUAUUCUUUUUUUUUUUUUUUGGCACCACUGGAAAUUAAUCGAAGAGGAAACACGACUAUUGGCCCUCUAAUCGUCGACGUUUGUACUAUUAACUUUUAUGGGGAAAAUGAAGUAACGAUAAAAUAAUAACUAAGAAGAUUCUCGCUUUCUUUGAGUGUACGGGUUAAUCGAAAAAUUACAAAAUUUCGUACAAAAGUUCGUAAACACCUGUCGAGGAAGAACGGACGGUAAAGUAGUUAAAUUUGUCGAAUGGAAACAAUACGAUAUUCGUGGAACGGGCGAUUAAAAAUCACGAAAUCGAUGCCGUGAAGCGAUUAAUUCACGGCUUUCUUCGGCUCGUAUUCCGGAUAUGCAUGCGGGAUCACGUCCGAUUUUAGUGGAGGUUUUCCGGCGUCACGUACGGUUCGGUGGCCGGGGCGAAAUUUCUAAUCCCCUCCGGCUUUAUAUAGUCAUGCCCGUACGGUUAUUCAUACGUGUCGUUGCUCGCUUGAUCACUUUGCGAUCGGCAUCGCGCAAUUAAUUCUCGAUUACUAUCCACUGUUGCAACGCCAUUACACUCGAUUCGUAUUCAAACCCGGGGGAUAAUUCUUCCCGUCGUUCAAAUCGAAUGGUAAUUUAAUGACUGGAUCGAUGCGCUGUAAAAUUUUCAAAGUGUAAUUUAGCGUAUCGGAAACGCGAGUGUACGCGCGUGUGACCGAACAUAACCUCGCUCGUAGCUUCGACGCCGAAAAUGGGCUGCGUGUGCCCAUAAAGUCUCGAGCAAAUUUCGUCUUUUUUUUCUUUUGGAUUAGAAGAUUGAAUUUUAAUAAAAGUAUCCGUUGUUUGUAAAGGAAUGCAAUUUAUUAGGAUUUAGGAUUUAAGACCGAGAAUUCGUUGUAGACUGGCUGUAAUAAAAAAAACUGAGCUUCUGUGUUGCAGAUCUCGCUACCUAGAAGAGACAAUGGCCGAAAAAGUGUGGUUGCAUAAGAUAGGCACAUUCGUGAUCUACCCUGUAGAUCCGGGCUUUUGUAGAAUUGUAAAUAUCAGAAGCUCGUCUCUACAGGUAUCUUACGGAUGACAUGCCACGCGACUCUAGAUUGCAAUGCAUGGCAACACAUUCGUGUAAAUCAUCCUGACGUUCUCUCAAGCUUUUCGAACGAUCCUAUAAGAAGACGUUUAGAGCUUUAGAAUCGAGUCAUCGGCUUUAUCUGCAAGCAAUACAUAGAGAAUUCUAAAGAAGAAUUAUCAUUUUUAGAUAGUAAAUACAUAGAUGUACAUCUACACACGCCACGCAAGAUAUCGUCUCAUAAAUUAUGUAUUUAACAAUAGUAUAUGCCGUAGCGUUCAUAGAUUUAAAAUGUUUUAAUUGUUUUUAAAUUAGGUUAUUUAAUUGUUAAUUAGAUUACUAAUUAGAUUAUAUGUUUGGAUAUGAAUUAAUAUGGACAAGUGUAAUAUAAAUAAAUAAAUAUUAUUUAUAUAAAAAAUUA